rnacentral:rRNA from 1 species
GGUUAAGCGACUAAGCGUACACGGUGGAUGCCCUGGCAGUCAGAGGCGAUGAAGGACGUGCUAAUCUGCGAUAAGCGUCGGUAAGGUGAUAUGAACCGUUAUAACCGGCGAUUUCCGAAUGGGGAAACCCAGUGUGUUUCGACACACUAUCAUUAACUGAAUCCAUAGGUUAAUGAGGCGAACCGGGGGAACUGAAACAUCUAAGUACCCCGAGGAAAAGAAAUCAACCGAGAUUCCCCCAGUAGCGGCGAGCGAACGGGGAGGAGCCCAGAGCCUGAAUCAGUGUGUGUGUUAGUGGAAGCGUCUGGAAAGGCGCGCGAUACAGGGUGACAGCCCCGUACACAAAAAUGCACAUGCUGUGAGCUCGAUGAGUAGGGCGGGACACGUGGUAUCCUGUCUGAAUAUGGGGGGACCAUCCUCCAAGGCUAAAUACUCCUGACUGACCGAUAGUGAACCAGUACCGUGAGGGAAAGGCGAAAAGAACCCCGGCGAGGGGAGUGAAAAAGAACCUGAAACCGUGUACGUACAAGCAGUGGGAGCCUCUUUUAUGGGGUGACUGCGUACCUUUUGUAUAAUGGGUCAGCGACUUAUAUUCUGUAGCAAGGUUAACCGAAUAGGGGAGCCGAAGGGAAACCGAGUCUUAACUGGGCGUUAAGUUGCAGGGUAUAGACCCGAAACCCGGUGAUCUAGCCAUGGGCAGGUUGAAGGUUGGGUAACACUAACUGGAGGACCGAACCGACUAAUGUUGAAAAAUUAGCGGAUGACUUGUGGCUGGGGGUGAAAGGCCAAUCAAACCGGGAGAUAGCUGGUUCUCCCCGAAAGCUAUUUAGGUAGCGCCUCGUGAAUUCAUCUCCGGGGGUAGAGCACUGUUUCGGCAAGGGGGUCAUCCCGACUUACCAACCCGAUGCAAACUGCGAAUACCGGAGAAUGUUAUCACGGGAGACACACGGCGGGUGCUAACGUCCGUCGUGAAGAGGGAAACAACCCAGACCGCCAGCUAAGGUCCCAAAGUCAUGGUUAAGUGGGAAACGAUGUGGGAAGGCCCAGACAGCCAGGAUGUUGGCUUAGAAGCAGCCAUCAUUUAAAGAAAGCGUAAUAGCUCACUGGUCGAGUCGGCCUGCGCGGAAGAUGUAACGGGGCUAAACCAUGCACCGAAGCUGCGGCAGCGACGCUUAUGCGUUGUUGGGUAGGGGAGCGUUCUGUAAGCCUGCGAAGGUGUACUGUGAGGUAUGCUGGAGGUAUCAGAAGUGCGAAUGCUGACAUAAGUAACGAUAAAGCGGGUGAAAAGCCCGCUCGCCGGAAGACCAAGGGUUCCUGUCCAACGUUAAUCGGGGCAGGGUGAGUCGACCCCUAAGGCGAGGCCGAAAGGCGUAGUCGAUGGGAAACAGGUUAAUAUUCCUGUACUUGGUGUUACUGCGAAGGGGGGACGGAGAAGGCUAUGUUGGCCGGGCGACGGUUGUCCCGGUUUAAGCGUGUAGGCUGGUUUUCCAGGCAAAUCCGGAAAAUCAAGGCUGAGGCGUGAUGACGAGGCACUACGGUGCUGAAGCAACAAAUGCCCUGCUUCCAGGAAAAGCCUCUAAGCAUCAGGUAACAUCAAAUCGUACCCCAAACCGACACAGGUGGUCAGGUAGAGAAUACCAAGGCGCUUGAGAGAACUCGGGUGAAGGAACUAGGCAAAAUGGUGCCGUAACUUCGGGAGAAGGCACGCUGAUAUGUAGGUGAAGUCCCUCGCGGAUGGAGCUGAAAUCAGUCGAAGAUACCAGCUGGCUGCAACUGUUUAUUAAAAACACAGCACUGUGCAAACACGAAAGUGGACGUAUACGGUGUGACGCCUGCCCGGUGCCGGAAGGUUAAUUGAUGGGGUUAGCGCAAGCGAAGCUCUUGAUCGAAGCCCCGGUAAACGGCGGCCGUAACUAUAACGGUCCUAAGGUAGCGAAAUUCCUUGUCGGGUAAGUUCCGACCUGCACGAAUGGCGUAAUGAUGGCCAGGCUGUCUCCACCCGAGACUCAGUGAAAUUGAACUCGCUGUGAAGAUGCAGUGUACCCGCGGCAAGACGGAAAGACCCCGUGAACCUUUACUAUAGCUUGACACUGAACAUUGAGCCUUGAUGUGUAGGAUAGGUGGGAGGCUUUGAAGUGUGGACGCCAGUCUGCAUGGAGCCGACCUUGAAAUACCACCCUUUAAUGUUUGAUGUUCUAACGUUGACCCGUAAUCCGGGUUGCGGACAGUGUCUGGUGGGUAGUUUGACUGGGGCGGUCUCCUCCUAAAGAGUAACGGAGGAGCACGAAGGUUGGCUAAUCCUGGUCGGACAUCAGGAGGUUAGUGCAAUGGCAUAAGCCAGCUUGACUGCGAGCGUGACGGCGCGAGCAGGUGCGAAAGCAGGUCAUAGUGAUCCGGUGGUUCUGAAUGGAAGGGCCAUCGCUCAACGGAUAAAAGGUACUCCGGGGAUAACAGGCUGAUACCGCCCAAGAGUUCAUAUCGACGGCGGUGUUUGGCACCUCGAUGUCGGCUCAUCACAUCCUGGGGCUGAAGUAGGUCCCAAGGGUAUGGCUGUUCGCCAUUUAAAGUGGUACGCGAGCUGGGUUUAGAACGUCGUGAGACAGUUCGGUCCCUAUCUGCCGUGGGCGCUGGAGAACUGAGGGGGGCUGCUCCUAGUACGAGAGGACCGGAGUGGACGCAUCACUGGUGUUCGGGUUGUCAUGCCAAUGGCACUGCCCGGUAGCUAAAUGCGGAAGAGAUAAGUGCUGAAAGCAUCUAAGCACGAAACUUGCCCCGAGAUGAGUUCUCCCUGACUCCUUGAGAGUCCUGAAGGAACGUUGAAGACGACGACGUUGAUAGGCCGGGUGUGUAAGCGCAGCGAUGCGUUGAGCUAACCGGUACUAAUGAACCGUGAGGCUUAACCUU